AAGUCGUAACAAGGUUUCCGUAGGUGAACCUGCGGAAGGAUCAUUACCAAUAUAGCGAACCGAGCGUUAGCGAGGCUUCGCGAUCAAUUUGUAUUUAAAACCCAACUCUUUAAAUGUAUAUUAUUGUAUUUUAAAUAAUAAAAAGAUCACUUUCAACAACGGAUCUCUUGGCUCUC
rnacentral:misc_RNA from 1 species